rnacentral:rRNA from 1 species
AACGAACGCUGGCGGCAGGCCUAACACAUGCAAGUCGAGCGCGCCUUCGGGUGAGCGGCGGACGGGUGAGUAACGCGUGGGAAUAUGCCCUUCUCUACGGAUAGUCCUGGGAAACUGGGGGUAAUACCGUAUACGCCCUUUGGGGGAAAGAUUUAUCGGGGAAGGAUUAGCCCGCGUUGGAUUAGGUAGUUGGUGGGGUAAUGGCCUACCAAGCCGACGAUCCAUAGCUGGUUUGAGAGGAUGAUCAGCCACACUGGGACUGAGACACGGCCCAGACUCCUACGGGAGGCAGCAGUGGGGAAUCUUAGACAAUGGGGGCAACCCUGAUCUAGCCAUGCCGCGUGAGUGAUGAAGGCCUUAGGGUUGUAAAGCUCUUUCAGCUGGGAAGAUAAUGACGGUACCAGCAGAAGAAGCCCCGGCUAACUCCGUG